rnacentral:rRNA from 1 species
AGUCGAGAAUUUUUCUCAAUGGGCGAAAGCCUGAAGGAGCGACGCCGCGUGGGGGAUGAAUGGCUUCGGCCCGUAAACCCCUGUCAUUUGUGACCAAACCUUUUGAUCUAAUAAGUCAAAAGCUGAUGGUAGCGGAAGAGGAAGGGACGGCUAACUCUGUGCCAGCAGCCGCGGUAAUACAGAGGUCCCGAGCGUUGUUCGGAUUCACUGGGCGUAAAGGGUGCGUAGGUGGUCGGGUAAGUCUGAUGUGAAAUCUCACGGCUCAACCGUGAAACUGCAUUGGAUACUAUUCGGCUGGAGGGUUGGAGGGGGGACUGGAAUACUUGGUGUAGCAGUGAAAUGCGUAGAUAUCAAGUGGAACACCAGUGGCGAAGGCGAGUCCCUGGACAACUCCUGACACUGAGGCACGAAAGCUAGGGGAGCAAA